rnacentral:tRNA from 1 species
UCCUCUGUGGUGCAGAUGGUUAGCUUGCUUGGCUGCUACCCAAACAGUUGGAGGUUCGAGUCCAUCUAGAUGUA